rnacentral:lncRNA from 1 species
CUGAUCAUCAGUGAGCCAAGCCUGGAAGCCUGAGCCAUCACCAGCUGGGUGGUAGCCAGCUGUGGCUCAGGGCCACUCUAGAAACACUUGCCUUGGGCUGCAGCUGCCCUGGGCUACUACCCUGAUCCCUAGGAAACGGGGCAUGGGGCAUUUUCCUGAACAGAGCCCUUGCCAAUGCCCAGCAAGAAACCAGUGUGGCACUGGGAUUGGAAAGCCUGGAGUGUGAAUAUGGACUCUGAUGUGCCAACUUACAGAAGAAGCAUAGGCAAGAUUCUUAGUCUCUACAUCAAGCUGAGUCCUUGAAGUGGUCGGAGGGACAAAACAGAAUUCCUGGAGACAGUGUCCUAAGGGAGUGCCAGAGGCACUCAUUUGUUUGACAACUAAUUUUGGAGGCAGGUGCUCUUCCUUGUCUUAGGAUCUUCCAGUCAACAAGGCUGAAAAUCUCCCUGCCUCCUGGAGCUUGCUUCUGUGGAAGAAGGCAGUCAGCAAACACAUGAACAAAGACAAGUUCAGGG